GACUAAGACUGAGUGGCCGGACCGGCGCGACGGGUGAGUAACGCGUAUCCAACCUGGCCCUUAGUAGGGAACAGCCCGGCGAAAGUCGGAUUAAUGCCCUAUGUUCUCCAAUGAUGGCAUCUGACUUGGAACAAAGAUUCAUCGCUAAGGGAUGGGGAUGCGUCUGAUUAGCUUGUCGGCGGGGUAACGGCCCACCGAGGCGACGAUCAGUAGGGGUUCUGAGAGGAAGGUCCCCCACAUUGGUACUGAGACACGGACCAAACUCCUACGGGAGGCAGCAGUGAGGAAUAUUGGUCAAUGGGCGUAAGCCUGAACCAGCCAAGUAGCGUGCAGGAAGACUGCCCUAUGGGUUGUAAACUGCUUUUAUGCGGGAAUAAAGUCAGGUACGCGUACCUGUUUGUAUGUACCGCAUGAAUAAGGACCGGCUAAUUCCGUGCCAGCCGCGGC
rnacentral:rRNA from 1 species